rnacentral:rRNA from 1 species
GAUGAACGCUGGCGGCGUGCUUAACACAUGCAAGUCGAACGGAGAUAUUAAAAAUGAAGUAAGGAGCUUGCUUCGGACGGAAUGAUUAAUAUCUUAGUGGCGGACGGGUGAGUAACGCGUGGAUAACCUGCCUUAUACUGGGGGAUAACACUUAGAAAUAGGUGCUAAUACCGCAUAAGCGCACAGCUUCGCAUGAAGUAGUGUGAAAAACUCCGGUGGUAUAAGAUGGAUCCGCGUCUGAUUAGCUAGUUGGGGGGGUAACGGCCCACCAAGGCGACGAUCAGUAGCCGGCCUGAGAGGGUGAACGGCCACAUUGGGACUGAGACACGGCCCAAACUCCUACGGGAGGCAGCAGUGGGGAAUAUUGCACAAUGGGGGAAACCCUGAUGCAGCGACGCCGCGUGAGUGAAGAAGUAUUUCGGUACGUAAAGCUCUAUCAGCAAGGAAGAAAAUGACGGUACUUGACUAAGAAGCCCCGGCUAACUACGUGCCAGCCGCCGCCGUAA